UGGGGAAUUUUGGACAAUGGGCGAAAGCCUGAUCCAGCAAUGCCGCGUGUGUGAAGAAGGCCUUCGGGUUGUAAAGCACUUUUGUCCGGAAAGAAAUCCUUGGCUCUAAUACAGUCGGGGGAUGACGGUACCGGAAGAAUAAGCACCGGCUAACUACGUGCCAGCAGCCGCGGUAAUACGUAGGGUGCAAGCGUUAAUCGGAAUUACUGGGCGUAAAGCGUGCGCAGGCGGUUUGCUAAGACCGAUGUGAAAUCCCCGGGCUCAACCUGGGAACUGCAUUGGUGACUGGCAGGCUAGAGUAUGGCAGAGGGGGGUAGAAUUCCACGUGUAGCAGUGAAAUGCGUAGAGAUGUGGAGGAAUACCGAUGGCGAAGGCAGCCCCCUGGGCCAAUACUGACGCUCAUGCACGAAAAGCGUGGGGGAGCAAAACAGGAUUAGAUACCCUGGUAGUCCACGCCCUAAAACGAUGUCAACUAGUUGUUGGGGAUUCAUUUCCUUAGUAACGUAGCUAACGCGUGAAGUUGACCGCCUGGGGAGUACGGUCGCAAGAUU
rnacentral:rRNA from 1 species